GAGGGUGUAGCUCAGUGGUAGAGCACGUGCCUAGCGUGCACGAGGUCCUAGGUUCAAUCCCCAGUGCCUCCA
rfam:Camelus ferus unplaced genomic scaffold scaffold642, whole genome shotgun sequence.